AAUGAACGCUGGCGGCGCGCCUAAUACAUGCAAGUCGAGCGAGAAGACGUAGCAAUACGUUUGUAAAGCGGCGAACGGGUGAGGAAUACAUGGGUAACCUACCCUAGAGUGGGGAAUAACUAGCCGAAAGGUUAGCUAAUACCGCGUACGCUCCUUGGACUUCGGUUCAGGGAGGAAAGCGAUGCCGAGGGUAUCGCGCUCUUGGAUGGGCUCAAGUCCUAUCAGCUUGUUGGUGAGGUAACGGCUCACCAAGGCUUCGACGGGUAGCUGGUCUGAGAGGACGAUCAGCCACACUGGCACUGCGACACGGGCCAGACUCCUACGGGAGGCAGCAGUAAGGAAUAUUGCGCAAUGGGC
rnacentral:rRNA from 1 species